AUUGAACGCUGGCGGCAUGCUUUACACAUGCAAGUCGAACGGUAGAGGGGGCAACCCCUUGAGAGUGGCGAACGGGUGAGUAAUGCAUCGGAACGUGCCCAGUCGUGGGGGAUAACGCAGCGAAAGCUGUGCUAAUACCGCAUACGAUCUCUGGAUGAAAGCGGGGGACCGAAAGGCCUCGCGCGACUGGGGCGGCCGAGGUCAGAUUAGGUAGUUGGUGGGGUAAAGGCUCACCAAGCCAACGAUCUGUAGCUGGUCUGAGAGGACGACCAGCCACACUGGGACUGAGACACGGCCCAGACUCCUACGGGAGGCAGCAGUGGGGAAUUUUGGACAAUGGGCGCAAGCCUGAUCCAGCAAUGCCGCGUGCAGGAAGAAGGCCUUCGGGUUGUAAACUGCUUUUGUACGGAACGAAAAGGUCUGGGUUAAUACCCUGGGCACAUGACGGUACCGUAAGAAUAAGCACCGGCUAACUACGUGCCAGCCGCCGCGGUAA
rnacentral:rRNA from 1 species